AUUGAACGCUGGCGGCAUGCCUUACACAUGCAAGUCGAACGGCAGCGGACCUUCGGGUGCCGGCGAGUGGCGAACGGGUGAGUAAUGCAUCGGAACGUACCUUUCAGUGGGGGAUAACGUAGCGAAAGUUACGCUAAUACCGCAUAUUCUGUGAGCAGGAAAGCAGGGGAUCGCAAGACCUUGCGCUGAUUGAGCGGCCGAUGUCAGAUUAGCUAGUUGGUGAGGUAAAGGCUCACCAAGGCGACGAACUGUAGCGGGUCUGAGAGGAUGAUCGGCCACACUGGAACGGAGACACGGUCCCGACUCCGACGGGAGGAAGCAGUGGGGAAUUUUGGACAAUGGGGGCAACCCUGAUCCAGCCAUGCCGCGUGAGUGAAGAAGGCCGUCGGGUUGUAAAGCUCUUUCGGCCGGGAAGAAAUCGCACGGGCUAAUACCCUGUGUGGAUGACGGUACCGGAAUAAGAAGCACCGGCUAACUACGUGCCAGCCGCCGCAGUAAAAC
rnacentral:rRNA from 1 species